UAAGUAAAGAUUUUAAGGGCGUACGGCGGAUGCCUUGGCGAUAUCAGCCGAUGAAGGACGCGGUAAGCUGCGAUAAGCUACGGAGAGGUGCAAGCAACCUUUGACCCGUAGAUUUCCGAAUGGGGG
rnacentral:rRNA from 1 species